AUACGGAGGGUGCAAGCGUUAUCCGGAAUCAUUGGGUUUAGAGGGUCCGCAGGCGGAUUAAUAAGUCAGUGGUGAAAUCCUCUCGCUCAACGAGAGAACUGCCAUUGAAACUGUUAGUCUUGAAUUCGGUCGAAGUAGGCGGAAUGUGUCAUGUAGCGGUGAAAUGCAUAGAUAUGACACAGAACACCGAUAGCGAAGGCAGCUUACUAGACCUGGAUUGAUGCUCAUGGACGAAAGCGUGGGGAGCGAACAGGAUUAGAAACCCCAGUAGUCC
rnacentral:rRNA from 1 species